GACGAACCGUCCUAACGUUAUUCGGAUUCACUGGGCUUAAAGGGCGCGUAGGCGGACGAGCAAGUCCGGGGUGAAAUCUUUCGGCUCAACCGGAAAAGUGCCUUGGAUACUGCUCGCCUUGAGUGAGGUAGGGGCAUGUGGAACUUCCGGUGGAGCGGUGAAAUGCGUUGAUAUCGGAAGGAACGCCGGUGGCGAAAGCGACGUGCUGGCCCUCAACUGACGCUGAGGCGCGAAAGCCAGGGGAGCAAACAGG
rnacentral:rRNA from 1 species